CUCUUGUUUUUGUCUCCGUAGUGUUCCGUGCACAUAUUCCAAAUAACUAGAUGAUGAAAAAACAGACAAAAUGAGUCUGCCAUCGCU